rnacentral:rRNA from 1 species
AGAGUUUGAUCAUGGCUCAGGACGAACGCUGGCGGCGUGCUUAACACAUGCAAGUCGAGCGGAAAGGCCCUUCGGGGUACUCGAGCGGCGAACGGGUGAGUAACACGUGAGCAACCUGCCCUUAGCUCUGGGAUAGCUCCGGGAAACCGGAAUUAAUACCGGAUAUGACCUAGGCCGACAUCGGCCGUGGUGGAAAGUUUUUCGGCUAGGGAUGGACUCGCGGCCUAUCAGCUAGUUGGUGGGGUAAUGGCCUACCAAGGCGACGACGGGUAGCCGGCCUGAGAGGGCGACCGGCCACACUGGGACUGAGACACGGCCCAGACUCCUACGGGAGGCAGCAGUGGGGAAUCUUGCGCAAUGGGCGAAAGCCUGACGCAGCGACGCCGCGUGGGGGAUGAAGGCCUUCGGGUUGUAAACCCCUUUCAGCAGGGACGAAGCGAAAGUGACGGUACCUGCAGAAGAAGCGCCGGCUAACUACGUGCCAGCAGCCGCGGUAACACGUAGGGCGCAAGCGUUGUCCGGAAUUAUUGGGCGUAAAGAGCUCGUAGGCGGACUGUUGCGUCCGCUGUGAAAAGCUGGGGCUUAACCCUGGCCUUGCAGUGGAUACGGGCAGACUAGAGGUAGGUAGGGGAGAAUGGAAUUCCCGGUGUAGCGGUGAAAUGCGCAGAUAUCGGGAGGAACACCGGUGGCGAAGGCGGUUCUCUGGGCCUUACCUGACGCUGAGGAGCGAAAGCGUGGGGAGCGAACAGGAUUAGAUACCCUAGUAGUCC